CUGAGGUGCCUGAAGAGGUGAGACAGAAUCUUGUCCUUAUUUCAGAGUCUCCUGGAAUUAUCUGCCAUUUACAGUCUCACCUGCUGGGACAUCUGUCUUCGUAGCAGCUGCUGCUGAGUGCUCCACAAAAAGCCCAGGAUGUCCGUGAAUCGUGACUGUGAACUAGCAAUGAGAAUCUUGAGGUACACCUCCUGACCUGCCCCAGUUGGAUGUUCUGAAGAUAAAACCUCCCUACUGAUGAAUUGGCUCACAGGUUGCCGUGAGCCUCCAACUUCUCCUCCAGAGCACCCCUGACAACAGAGGAGUGUGAACACAGUUUGAGUCUGCCACAGAUCAGCAGCAGUCAGCGAUCGGGCCCCGAAGAGCCUCGGGCGCGGCCUCGCCUCUCCGCCCCGGCGCCCAUAUCAGCACCGCGGACAGCACAAUGACGGUCGCCAGGACCUAGGCGCCCUCCAGCCCACCA